rnacentral:rRNA from 1 species
AUGGGCAUGGAGUCGCACACCUGGCACCAGUUCUUCUCCAUCCUCGCCUGGAUCAUCGCCGACGCCGACCUGGCCGGCCGCAGGCUCGACCAUGCGGCGGACGAGCUGGAGGGGGCCGUGGACCACCACGCCGCCAACAACGCCUACUCGGCCAGCGACGCGCCGGUCCGGCGCCUCCUCCGCCGCUACGUCUUCGACACCGCCCGCGACCGCGUCGCCGCCCUCCUCAGCGAGGAAGCGAAGGCCGGGGACGCCGCCGCGGACCUGCCCCUGCGCCCCAACCGCGGCCUCCUCGUGAACGUGCAGACGGGCAUCGACCUGCUGCUGGGCUCGGAGCCGUCCGGCGUCGCGAUGCGCGCCUUCUCGCUGCGGGACCCGCGGCAGAGCAGCCGCCACGAGUGGUACCCGGCCUGGCUCGCCGGCGUCCAGUCGGCCGUGGCUAACGCGGUCCGCAGGCUGUCCCGGGCGCGGUUGGAGCUGGGGGCUGUGCUCUCGGAGGUGGACGAGUUCCUGGCCGUGCCGGCGCCGGCCCAGUCCCAGGGAUUCGCCGACGCAUGCGCCGCCGCGGCUCGGCAUGCUCGGCGGGGCGUUGCCAACCUGGACGCCCUGGUCCAGAUCCUGCGCGUGCUGGAGGAGGAGCUGGAGGACGAACCCCCUACCGCCCGCGUCAGGCAGUUCUUCGGCUACGUCUACGUCCCAUCGCCACCGCCGCCUCCGGCCAACGGCGCAGGUCCAGCAGGAGGCGCCGCGUAG